rnacentral:rRNA from 1 species
CGUACACUCCUGCGGGAGGCAGCAGUGGGGAAUAUUGGACAAUGGGCGCAAGCCUGAUCCAGCCAUGCCGCGUGAGUGAUGAAGGCCCUAGGGUUGUAAAGCUCUUUCACCGGUGAAGAUAAUGACGGUAACCGGAGAAGAAGCCCCGGCUGACUUCGUGCCAGCAGCCGCGGUAAUACGAAGGGGGCUAGCGUUGUUCGGAUUUACUGGGCGUAAAGCGCACGUAGGCGGACUAUUAAGUCAGGGGUGAAAUCCCGGGGCUCAACCCCGGAACUGCCUUUGAUACUGGUAGUCUUGAGUUCGAGAGAGGUGAGUGGAAUUCCGAGUGUAGAGGUGAAAUUCGUAGAUAUUCGGAGGAACACCAGUGGCGAAGGCGGCUCACUGGCUCGAUACUGACGCUGAGGUGCGAAAGCGUGGGGAGCAAACAGGAUUAGAUACCCCGGUAGUCCCAUG